GAACUAUCAUAACCAUCUCUGGGAAUAAGAGAGAGCUGAAAAAGGAAGGGAGAAUUAAUAGGUAGGAAGAAAUAUCUCCUAUCCCCUCUACAGGAUGGGUCGCUGAAGAAAAAAGGGAAUAGGUGGAAUUCGUAUUAUAGAUAAUGUUUCCAAAGCAUAGAGCUGAUGCAUAAGAAAAUGAGAUUGCAACUGUAAAUCUGGGGAGUGGAAGGGGUUUAGCUGCCGCUUUUUGGGAGGGGGUGUGUGCGCAUUUCAAGACAACCAGGUGGACUGUUCCUGCUCUUCGCAGGGAAUGUGCGAGAACAAGUGGCCUUCGCAUCGUGACUGUGGUUAUGGAGUUUGAAGUUGUGGGGCACUGAUGGCUCGCGCAUGCUUCUUUACACGUGCCUUCUUUUUCUCGGUGAUACAAGUCAACUACGAGUCCACAAGUAUGUCAGCAGGGAUGCGGGAGGGGUAGCCUGGCCUUCCAUGCCUUAAAGCCACACAGAAUACUGAAGAUGCCGGGCCAAACUCGCCCAGGCGGCCACAGCAUCAAGGAGCGUGCAGCAACCUAAGAAUAUGGCUCACAGGCCCAGACUCUGCAGGGGCUCUUCCCAUGGGACGCUAGCUGUAAAGAGACUCCAAAGCUGCCAGAGCUGCAGGCUGUGGAGGACGGCUAGCUUUGCCCAUGCACGGUGCCCCGCAGGCUCUUGUGCAUGCUCUCUGGGGGCUGCAGCUUCCCUCAGGACACAUCGACCUGCUCCGGCGUGCUGUCUUCCACGGGCUGCGCUGCACUAGAAUUUUGAUUCUGGCGCCACAACCACCCCCCGCUCUUCCUCCUCCUUCUGCUCCUCCUCCUGUUCCUCCUCCUGCUCCUCCUCUUCUUUGUCUUGCCCCUCCAAACCCUUCCUCCCCCUCCUUACUCCCGCACCAGCUCUCACCUUACACUUUGUACAGCGGUUUCUCACACUUUUUCCUCCUUGCUCCCCACUGCUGAGCAGCAUUUUACCCUUUUUGGCUGCCCUUUCGUAGCACCUUUUCUCCCGAGGCCCCGCCUUCUUGGCAGCUGAGUUCUGUCCUGCUCUGCGGCAGUGCCGCUGGAACCGGCCUUGCCAGAUUGCAUGGCGCCGAUACCGGCUACUUCUCAGAGGCCACCAGCAGCCCCCGGUGCCAGCACGUGGGCAAACACCCAGCACGGCUCUAGAGAAACAUAAACAUUGCCUACACGUGAGACCUUCCCGGUCUGGAAGCAGGCAGCCAAUCAGAGGGAGGAAUGAGAAGAUGACAGGGUUUUAAAAACAAAGCUGGCUAAGCCAAUCAGGCAGCGGUACGGAAACAAGUGGGUUGGGCCCUUUCACAAAAUGGCGGCUCCUCACUGUGGAGUGCGGCAUGAAACAAAAUGGUGCCCGCCACUGCAGGAUGGUGGGAGGGAUUGCCUGUCGUGGCCCAUCCCACGUCCGGGAGGGCCACUCAGCAGCGUAGUCCUGCCCUUCACAAAAGGCCCUUUCCCCGCCCUGCCAUGCGGUGUAUGCCCAGCGCCUCCAUCUGGUGGCCAGGAAGAACUUCAGGCUGCAGCCGUGGCGCUGUGGAGCUGUGCUAGCAACAGAAGCAGCAUCAGCGCCUGCCGCAGUGCUCGCGAUCCGACCGGCCAAGUGGUAGCAGGUGCUCCACAGGACAUCAGGCAGAAGCAAAGGGGCCUGCAACUGUAAAUCUGGGGAGUGGAAGGGGUUUAGCUGCCGCUUUUUGGGAGGGGGUGUGUGCGCAUUUCAAGACAACCAGGUGGACUGUUCCUGCUCUUCGCAGGGAAUGUGCGAGAACAAGUGGCCUUCGCAUCGUGACUGUGGUUAUGGAGUUUGAAGUUGUGGGGCACUGAUGGCUCGCGCAUGCUUCUUUACACGUGCCUUCUUUUUCUCGGUGAUACAAGUCAGCUACGAGUCCACAAGUAUGUCAGCAGGGAUGCGGGAGGGGUAGCCUGGCCUUCCAUGCCUUAAAGCCACACAGAAUACUGAAGAUGCCGGGCCAAACUCGCCCAGGCGGCCACAGCAUCAAGGAGCGUGCAGCAACCUAAGAAUAUGGCUCACAGGCCCAGACUCUGCCGGGGCUCUUCCCAUGGGACGCUAGCUGUAAAGAGACUCCAAAGCUGCCAGAGCUGCAGGCUGUGGAGGACGGCUAGCUUUGCCCAUGCACGGUGCCCCGCAGGCUCUUGUGCAUGCUCUCUGGGGGCUGCAGCUUCCCUCAGGACACAUCGACCUGCUCCGGCGUGCUGUCUUCCACGGGCUGUGCUGCACUAGAAUUUUGAUUCUGGCGCCACAACCACCCCCCGCUCUUCCUCCUCCUUCUGCUCCUCCUCCUGUUCCUCCUCCUGCUCCACCUCUUCUUUGUCUUGCCCCUCCAAACCCUUCCUCCCCCUCCUUACUCCCGCACCAGCUCUCACCUUACACUUUGCACAGCGGUUUCUCACACUUUUUCCUCCUUGCUCCCCACUGCUGAGCAGCAUUUUACCCAUUUUGGCUGCCCUUUCGUAGCACCUUUUCUCCCGAGGCCCCGCCUUCUUGGCAGCUGAGUUCUGUCCUGCUCUGCGGAAGUGCCGCUGGAACCGGCUUUGCCAGAUUGCAUGGCGCCGAUACCGGCUACUUCUCAGAGGCCACCAGCAGCCCCCGGUGCCAGCACGUGGGCAAACACCCAGCACGGCUCUAGAGAAACAUAAACAUUGCCUACACGUGAGACCUUCCCGGUCUGGAAGCAGGCAGCCAAUCAGAGGGAGGAAUGAGAAGAUGACAGGGGUUUAAAAACAAAGCUGGCUAAGCCAAUCAGGCAGCGGUACGGAAACAAGUGGGUUGGGCCCUUUCACAAAAUGGCGGCUCCUCACUGUGGAGUGCGGCA